rnacentral:misc_RNA from 1 species
AAGUCGUAACAAGGUUUCCGUAGGUGAACCUGCGGAAGGAUCAUUAACCUUUCAAAUCAGGGUGCGUCGCGGCCCCCGAGGAGCGGAAACAAUCCUUGGGAGGUUUGGAGUCUUCGGACCCCUUAACGCACGCACGACUGCCAUCCUUACUUUACGAGCACCUUCUGUUCUCCCUCGGCGGGGCAACCUGCCGUUGGAACCGAAUAAACUCUUUUUGCAUCUAGCAUUACCUGUUCCGAAACAAACAAUCGUUACAACUUUCAACAAUGGAUCUCUUGGCUCUG